UUUCCGUAGGUGAACCUGCGGAAGGAUCAUUAUUGAAUAAACCUGAUGUGGUUGUAGCUGGCCCUUUCGGGAGCAUGUGCACACCAGUCGUCUUUAUCUUUCCACCUGUGCACCUUUUGUAGACCUGGAUGUAACACUUUCCGAGGCAACUCGGUCGGGAGGAAUGCUGUCAGCUUUCCUUGAAUGUCCAGGCCUAUGUUUUCAUAUACCCCAAAGAAUGUAACAGAAUGUAUUAUUGGGCCUUGUGCCUAUAAACUAUAUACAACUUUCAGCAACGGAUCUCUUGGCUCUC
rnacentral:misc_RNA from 1 species